UUUAGAAUAAUAUGUGAUCAUAUUUCAACUAUCAAAAUUUUUCAUUAAAUACCCUGUAAUAUUUUUAUAUUUGCUAAUAAUCUAUGAAAUAAAAAUAUGAUAGUGUAAUACCGGCUUUAGUAAAAGUUUAUCGAUUCUUAAAAGUGUCAUAGUGAAAAAUCGAUUCGAGAGCAAGCAAAAUUGAGGAAUAUAGAUGCAUAAAUUCACAUUUUCCUCUUUUGUAAACUUUAGGGAAAACGCCAAAAACUGUUUAUGUUUGAUAUCCAAUUCAAAUUAUUACAAUUUUUUCAUAGUAUCCUCUUAUUAUUCAAGUUAUUUUUGCACAAACAUAACCCUAAAUUCAUCUCUAGUAUAAUGAGAUUUUAACUCAGAAAUUUGGAUAAUGUGUUUUGCACCAAAUAAGUGGCCAAGUGUGAGUUUUGCACCAAAAUCUCAUGAAGAAUGUGAGCUUUGAAGGAAAAUCAUUAUACCCAACCAAACAACCAGAACCAAAAAAUGUUAUUGAAAGUACUUCAACUGUUAUCUGGGUUAGAUGCAUAAAAAAAGGCACACUUAGAUAACUCAAUAACAUUGUGGAGAUAAGGUGAUGAGCCUAUAGGAGGUUACAUUUUUGGUUGGUUUACAAAGUUUGAGGAUUAGAUUGGAAAAAAUUCAAAAUGCGUUACCCAUAUAUGGAUGUUACCAACUUUACCAUGCACAAUAGUUCAAGGAGGACUUAUCAAAUCAUCGUAUUCUAGUGAUUUCAUGGGAUUGAAGUCUUUGAUUACUUUCAGAACUUAAUUUCUAGAUAUUUAGUUUAGUGGUAAUUAUAGAAGUCCGAUUGUUUGUUUUACUUCUUCGUGAGCAUCUAUUAUUCAAAUUUUUUUUUCUAGGGGGACAGAAAAACUUUUAGCUCUUGUUGAACUGUCUCUUAUCUAAUGGCCUUUUGAAAUACAUAUAAUUUAAUUUAUAUGUUGUGGAUGGUAGACCUUUUUCUAUGCUUCCCAUAGCGAAUUUUUUAUCACUUCGGCCCCACAAAGACUUUCUCAUUAAUGAUAGAUAGUUCUUCUUCUUUAUAUGUUUAUUUUAUUUUCUCAACAUCUUGUAUUUUGCUAGAUUUCACGAAAUGGCUAUUUAUUGACAUAAUAUAAAACUAUUAUUAUAUAGAAAAUAUCAAAUUGCAGUUUUUCGUAUAACAAUUGAUGGUUUCUUAGUUGUAAUGUAUUUGGUUGGAGUGUACUUACAAGAUAUUUAAAUGAAUAAUUGUUAAAAUUUAGUAUAUACCAGAAUCUAGACCCUCAUUAGCUUUAUUAGGUUGGUAUAAUCCUACCUGGUGUUGAGAAUAUAGUAUUAUGUGCGCGAAAACCCCGCUGUUAUCAGUAAAAAAACAACAGUGUUCAUAUAUUUAAUCAAAGCGUGUGCCUAAAAGUGUUGAAUAUUCGCUUAGGCUGUAAUCAUAUAUUUUUGCUCAUAUAGAAACAUAUCGCUAAUUUUAAAGCAAUGUAUUUUAUGUAAGUACAAUGUGUCCAAGUAUCUACAGACUGAUUAAAUUCACAAAAACAUCCAAUUUGGAACGAAUACUUGGAAAUACUUCUAUAUCUGCUCUAUUUAGAUGGAUCCGUUCUAAGCUUUUAGAGACAAUUCUCAGUUCAAAUUUUGAUGAAAGUUAAACAAAUAAAAACGUGAACAACAAUUAUUUUUUACUUUUUUUCUACAUCCCUAUUCAACUAAAACUUCAUCUUCUAAAAAUAACAAAGUAAAACAUUUCGUUUAAUUCAAAAUUCUAAUUCAAAAAUGUCUGAUGGCUGUACUAUUAAUAACUACCCGCUAUUAAUUCUUGUUUGCAUCUAUAUCUCUCGUCCUAGAAGAAGCUUUCGAAAAUAUAAGCUCUGGAAGGUUCGACUUCUAGAAAUUUCUAUAAACAACAUUCCAUAUAAAUCUGGAAGGUCCAGGAAUUACAGAACACUCUCAAAUGUAGAAAAUUCUUGAAAAUUGUAGAACAAACCAAUUGGUAGUGGGUCAUUCUGGAAUAAUGUGGAAUGUUAAGUAUUUUUUGGGUCUAUGGAGGGGUAUAUUCAUCGUGGUUUUCAACGUCAGUUUCUUAUUAGUGGAAUGUGAUUAAUCAAAAUUAUAAGUAGUUAAACAUGAAUCGAAAAUAACGAGUUUUAAUUGUAUUUCUUAAUAAAAAAAUAUAUUAACUUGUAAAAGAUCUUACCUGAAGAAACAGUAGAAGUAUUAGAAGUAGAGGGACCUAAUAGCAACGAAAUGAACGAAUUAAAGGAUGAGAGUGCAUGCGCAAGUCAAUCAUAUUUCUUUUCAUUAAAAUGAAAAUUUGAACUGAUUUUGUUUGUUUAUUUUAUUUAGAUAAAAAAAAUAAAAAAGUUGCGAGACACGAGACUUUUAUUGCGAGACGAGACUUCUCACUUUUUUGCUUUUAUUGUGAGACGAGAGUCCACUUUAUUGCGUAGAACAAAAUUCUUAGUGGUGUCUUCUCGUUUCAUAUACGUAAAAUAUAAGUUAUUAUAGUAAUUAUUAUAACACAAAUAUAAAAAAAAUAUUAACUUGGUUAAAGGAAAGUCUUUUGAAAAUGAAAAUUUGAUAAGAAGAGCAGAAAUACAAGUUUUUUCUUUCGAAUCAAAAAUGUAUUUGGACAAAAUAAUUGUUUCGAGGACAAACAACUCUAUUUUUUUGUGAAUUUAAUAUUGAAAGCAUGUGGUAAACUGAUGAUACUAUACUUGGCAAAUAUGUAUUUUUUCAGGAUUUCAAGCUUCGCAACUAGUUAAAAAAUUAAUUACAUCAUUAGGUGGCACUGUUUGAAUUCAUGAAAAAAGCAAUAAGUGUAAAGCUGUGAUUCGAUGUAAUAUUUUUGUGGCUAUUAGAAAUCAUUCCCAGAAAAAUGUGAUGCAUUUAAAUGUUUAUUUAUAUGUUACUUGUAGGAUUUUGUACAAUAUCUUGUGCUUUUAAUAACUUCCCAUUAUUUAUAUAACUGAAAAUACCAUGUAAACUGAAUUAGAAAACCGAACAA